rnacentral:rRNA from 1 species
CCUACGGGUGGCAGCAGUGGGGAAUAUUGGACAAUGGGCGAAAGCCUGAUCCAGCCAUGCCGCGUGUGUGAAGAAGGCCUUCGGGUUGUAAAGCACUUUCAGUGGGGAAGAAAGCCUUGGGGCUAAUACCCUCGAGGAAGGACAUCACCCACAGAAGAAGCACCGGCUAACUCACGUGCCAGCAGCCGCGGUAAUACGGAGGGUGCGAGCGUUAAUCGGAAUUACUGGGCGUAAAGCGCGCGUAGGCGGUCUGAUAAGCCGGUUGUGAAAGCCCCGGGCUCAACCUGGGAACGGCAUCCGGAACUGUCAGGCUAGAGUGCAGGAGAGGAAGGUAGAAUUCCCGGUGUAGCGGUGAAAUGCGUAGAGAUCGGGAGGAAUACCAGUGGCGAAGGCGGCCUUCUGGACUGACACUGACGCUGAGGUGCGAAAGCGUGGGUAGCAAACAGGAUUAGAUACCCCGGUAGUC